rnacentral:rRNA from 1 species
AACGAACGCUGGCGGCAUGCCUAACACAUGCAAGUCGAACGAAGGCUUCGGCCUUAGUGGCGCACGGGUGCGUAACGCGUGGGAAUCUGCCCUUGGGUUCGGAAUAACUCAGAGAAAUUUGAGCUAAUACCGGAUGAUGACGUAAGUCCAAAGAUUUAUCGCCCAAGGAUGAGCCCGCGUAAGAUUAGCUAGUUGGUGGGGUAAAGGCCUACCAAGCCUAUGAUCUAUAGCUGGUCUUAGAGGAUGAUCAGCCACACUGGGACUGAGACACGGCCCAGACUCCUACGGGAGGCAGCAGUGGGGAAUAUUGGACAAUGGGGGAAACCCUGAUCCAGCGAUGCCGCGUGAGUGAAGAGGGCCUCGGUUGUAAG